AAUGAACGCUGGCGGCAUGCCUAACACAUGCAAGUCGAACGAGACCAUCGGGACUUGUGGCGCAUGGGUGUGUAACGCGACGGAACCUGCACUCAGGUUUGGCAUACCUCUCCGAAAGGGGUGCUAAUACCGGACAAUGUCUACGGCCCAAAGAUUUAUUGACCUUGGAUGGGCCCGCGUUGGAUUCGCUAGUUGGUAAGGUAACGGCUUACCAAGGCAACGAUGCGUAGACGGUCUGAGAGGGUGAUUAGCCACACUGGAAAUGAGACACGGCCAAGACUGCUAAGGGAGGAAGCAGUAGGGAAUCUUCCGAAAUGGGCGAAAGCGUGACGGAGCAACGCCGCGGGAGUGAUGAAGGUCUUCGGAUCGUAAAAAUCUGUUAUUAGGGAAGAACAAAUGUGUAAGUAACUAUGCACGUCUUGACGGUACCUAAUCAGAAAGCCACGGCUAACUACGUG
rnacentral:rRNA from 1 species